rnacentral:lncRNA from 1 species
CCUGUGAUAAAUGAAACUGGUUGGCAAAGAAGCAGAGUUCAGAGACAGAGCAGGAUUGUGAGGUGUGAACAGGGUAAAUCCAUUUUCAUUGGCUUUUUCCUUACAGAGCCAAUGAAGAUGAAAUUUAACUGACUUGACUGUGGCCCUAGUUUUCAAAAUUCUUUAAUUCUGGGCUCUAUUUGAAUUGGGAGAACAAGCAAGCAAUAAAAGAAGCUGCUAUAGUCUCAAAGAAAUGUAUCUUGAAAAAAUGACCUGCCCUUGAGCCCACCAACUUCCACUCCCCACUUCUAAUUUCUUUCCUCUGAAUUUAGAGCUGUUCCCUUAGCAACACUUGUUUCCAUGGUUUCCUCCAUUACAAUGAUCCCAAACUCCUCCUCUCUUUUACCUCAUGACAGUAAUGGAUGAUGGGGAUCCUCAAUGUGGCCACUCCAUGUUACCAUGGGUGUUCUAAACCAUGCAGAUAAAGGCCACUUGCCCAGGAAGGGGAAGCAAGAAGGUCCUGGUUUCACCGUGAACACAAAUGACUGUUUUGGCAGUCUACCGUACUAUCCACCAGACUAGUCUUUCAGAGAAAAAUGCCAGAGGCAGCAACUGAAAGCAGCUUGUAGGAGUCAUCAGUUAGUCACUGAAGCAAAUCAUUUGAGAGAAGAUAAAGGCGAGCUCUUGACACUCCUGGGACAAGAAGACCUGCCCUGCGAGACUUGCCUGUGAGUGGCUCAGCUUCUCCUACCCUGGGGAAGGUAAUUGAUGAGUUAAUUAAUAUGCACAGCAGAUGCAUCACUGUCAAUAGAAGAUGGACUGCUUCUGGUCCUCACUAUCGUUACUAAGAUGAUCUCAGCCUUUCAACUUAGUUGGGAGAAACCAAUUUCCU